AGCAAUUCCAGUUUUGUUUUGGCCAAAAAGAAAAGAAAAUGGCAAUUAAAAAAAUAAGCAACCAUCAGCCCCGAUGAGAAGCCUUGUCCAAGGGUUCUAAGGAGGUUUUAAGCUAUAGUCAUGGGUGCUGUAUUCUCUUCAACGACGACGACGACCGCAAACUCAAUCGAUUCUCACAGUUCCAAUUGUACCAUGGCCUCUGCAGAUCCCAAAUCCCCAGAAUCAGCUACUCAUAUUCCCCCAAAGGAUGAAAUGUCAAAAGAAGCCACAAAUUCCUCAAUUGGCACCCAAACCCCAGAAGAAUCAGAUCAAGCAACGAAACCUACUGAGGAAGAAGAAGAGGAGGGAGAGUGUGGGUUCUGUUUGUUCAUGAAAGGGGGUGGGUGCAGAGAUGCUUUUAUAGAUUGGGAGAAUUGCGUCAAAGAGGCCGAAACUAACGAGGAGAAUGUUGUGGACAAGUGCUUUGACGCGACUGCGGCCUUAAGGAAGUGUAUGCAGGCUCAUGCGGAUUAUUACGAGCCUAUUUUGCAGGCGGAGAAGGAUGCAGAAGAGAGGGUCAUGAAGGAAUUGGAGAAGGAAAAGGCAUCCGAAUCAAAUGUGGCCGAGAAGAAAACAGAGAAGGUUGUGGAUUCCAAAGAUUCGAUAAGUGGUAAAUGAGAAAGCUAGGUGAUUUUUGAUUUUUUUUUUCUCCCCUUGAAAGAGAAUUUCCUUUUGUUUAUGCUAAUUUUGGAGCUAAUUAAUGCAAUAGAACGAAUUAGGAAUUGAGAUUUACUUCCUAUUAUCGAUAUGGAUAUCGGGUUAAUAGGAGACGAUAACUAAAGAAAAUGUUAGAACAAAUGAAUGGUGAUUACUUUCAGUUGUAUCUACAUUUAAUUUAACAAUCAUUUUUUGGUUAUUGAUGUGUUUUUGGCUGACUAGCAUAUCUCAGCUGCACAGUUCAUUAUGUUUUGG
rnacentral:misc_RNA from 1 species